rnacentral:rRNA from 1 species
UACAGAGGUCUCAAGCGUUGUUCGGAUUCAUUGGGCGUAAAGGGUGCGUAGGUGGCGGGGUAAGUCAGGUGUGAAAUUUCGGAGCUUAACUCCGAAACUGCAUUUGAUACUGCCUUGCUUGAGGACUGGAGAGGAGACUGGAAUUCACGGUGUAGCAGUGAAAUGCGCAGAUAUCAGGAGGAACACCAGCGGCGAAGGCGGCGCUCUGGGCCGGUACUGACACUGAGGAGCGAAAGCGUGGGUAGCAAACAGG